CCUGGAAGUCAGCCGUCUGUUCAGAUGUUCCGAUACACUUCUCUCUGCCAGCAGGGCCCGUGGCGGAUGAGGGCGAGCAGCAGUAUCACUAGGAUACCAGACACCAGGCAGAAGCAGCAAACACAGAAGGGAAUAAUGCAAGACAGCUGGGGAUAUGCCAACACUUCAGAGAAAGUUCUCUCCGAGGAGAAAGAGAUGGGUUCAAUUCCUGAGUCAUUCUAAGGGCUCUGCCUGAAACCUGCUUCUAUCCAGGAAGGCUGACUGGCCCGUGCCAACCUGUUUGUGGAAGUAACUCACCAAUGAAAGAGUCAGGAGGGAAAUUCAAGGGUCAAACUAAUCAUCAGUGAGAGUCCCACCAGGUCACAAGGGGGUAAAUACUGCUCGGCAGUUGACUCUAAGACACAGGAUGCUGGAUACGAGUCACCAGGAGCUGUGAGAGAGCUUGGGCUGUUUAAUUGAAAGAUAUUUUACAUAAGCAUCAGGCAUCUUUAUUUCCCUCUUGGCGUCUUGUACCAGACAGUUUUUUCCCCAAGAAAAGAAAAAGUAAUGUCUGCCUUCUUUUUUUUAUUGCCUUCAUUAAAAAAAAUGUAAUUUCCUCUACUUUGGAUGGUUCCCUCAAUCCAUCUAAUAUGUAUACAUUAUUUCCCAAUAAAAGACUCAUGCAAUAGAAAGAGCCAAAGUCCUGUU